GAGCCGGGUGAGGUGAGGGGCCUCCCGCGCCCCUCCCGGCCGCUGCUCCCCCAGAGGCCCUCCCUUCGGGGGCCGGGUGCGGUGUCCCCUCUGCCAGGGAGACCCCGUGGCCCAGCCUGGGCCCCCCAAAGGUCUGAACUGCAACUGGUUUUAAAGGACAAGCAGGCUGCCGCGUUCCCGUGGACAGAGCAGCCUGGGUUAGGCUGGCGGGAAGCUGCUCUCACACAGAGAGCAAUGUGUGGUGUCCGGGAAUGAAUAUCUCCCACGGGACCACUAGGACGCAGACACGAAGACCACAGCUGGGAUACGAGGAAGAUCUGGGUCCUUCACAGGCCUGCGCCCGUAGCAGGAAGUCCCCCCGUCUAACGGGGACCGUGCGUCCUGACAUCGCCACGAGUCCACAGUUAUGGAAAAUGGGAAUCAAGGCCCUGAAGUGCUACGCCUGCUUUUUCAUGGACUGAGCACCACUCUGAACCUCCGGGGCCGUCCCGUAGACGCUGAAGUACUCCAGGAUGUCGUGGCGCAGGAAACAGAGAACCGACAGGCCGGGCCCGUUGCAGGCGUGGUAGAGCUACCGGGAAACCCACAGACGGUCGGUCAGCAGGGAGAGGAGAGCUCUGGAGGCCCGGGGCCAUGCCUGGGCCCCGAGCCACGGCCCCGUGAGCUGGGACCUCGGGCAAGUCACCGAAUGGCCCCAUGGCUCUUCUCCCCAUCUGAAACGUGGGGACGCAGUGGACUACUCCCCCAUAGGGUCUUGCGGACGAAGCCCGCCGAGGUGAGGACCCUCCCAUGUGAUCUACACAUUCCCUCAACAUCCAGGUCUGCUGAGGCUGGAGCCUUUUUCCUUGGGUACCGGUCUGCCCUGCACGGGCCAAUGGGGCCUUCUCUCCCACAAUUUACCCCUCUGACCACCGGGCAUCUGAAGCCCUGGGGGGCUUGCAAAUUCUCAGG